rnacentral:lncRNA from 1 species
GGCGUCUUCUGUCGACGUUGCCCGCAUCCUUCUCGAGCUCUGCUCCCGUCCCUCGUGCCGGGCCCCCCUAUCGCCGGCUCAAACGUCGCCCUGCUACGUCGUUUCGUUGGUGGGGUCUGCCUGUCGGCCCAUCUGGACUCCCCCACCGCGCUCCUCUUGCAUCGUUCGGUCGCUGGACUCCGCCGAGCUUACUACGGGCGCCUCUCCCCAGCUCCGCCGACCGCGUCGGUCCCUGACCUUCGCCCUCGCCCCCGACGGGCCGGUUCUUGGGCUCCCUCGGGGGCUUCCCGGCCCAUCUGAUUCUGACCAACCCGGGUACGCGACGCUUCGUUUUCCGCGCCCUCCUUAACCCCUAUAUAAACCCUCACUCGCUUCUCGCGACUGACUUCCAUUCCCUUCUUUUAUUCUUCCCCACCUUCUCUCCCAGGUUGCUGAUGGCCUCCGCUUCCUCCUCCGGUCGUGACGGCGCACACACUUCGGCGAGCAAGGUGUGUUCGACGCUCUUCGUCGCUCCCUCCCCCAAGGACCCUCUGUCCACCGUCGGGGUUGAUGCGAUCCGGGAGGCACUGGUGAAGAUGGGCCAGCCCGACCUCCC